UCGAGAAUCAUUCACAAUGGGGGAAACCCUGAUGGUGCAACGCCGCGUGGAGGAUGACGGCCUUCGGGUUGUAAACUCCUGUCAUCUGGGAGUAAGCCUUGUCCGUUAAUAGCGUGCAAGGUUGAUAGUACCAGAAGAGGAAGGGACGGCUAACUUCGUGCCAGCAGCCGCGGUAAUACGAAGGUCCCAAGCGUUGUUCGGAAUCACUGGGCGUAAAGCGUGCGCAGGCGGCGCGGAAAGUCAGAUGUGAAAUCUCUGGGCUCAACCCGGAAACUGCAUCCGAUACUCCCGCGCUAGAGUAAUGGAGAGGUAGCUGGAAUUCUCGGUGUAGCAGUGAAAUGCGUAGAUAUCGAGAGGAACACUCGUGGCGAAGGCGAGCUACUGGACAUUUACUGACGCUCAGGCACGAAGGCCAGGGGAGCGAAAGGGAUUAGAUACCCCUGUAGUCCUGGCAGUAAACGGUGCGCGCUUGGUGUGGGAGG
rnacentral:rRNA from 1 species